GGGUUAUGGCUGGACAGUAGCAGGGGCAGAGGCCCCGGAUUCAGAAAAGCUCUGCUUUGAAGAUCUUUCCACACCAACUCCCUGGUUAAGACUGGGACUUCAGCUUUGGUCAGGUCCUUGUGGAGAAGUGGAGACCCACUGUGUUGCCUGGCUCAGACCCAGCUCAACUUUGACCAUGCACAGGCGGACUACACCCCGCCCUCCUUGAGGGCUUGGGGAAGGUCAGACUCUGGAGAGAACAUUCUCCUGGGUUCUUAGCAACAGCACUAUGUGGGGUGGGUGGGUGGACUUGGGCCAUGAAGCCCCUAGGUGAUACCCAUCAACCAUGCCAGCUUGUUCUCUUACAGGGAGGUAUGCUGCCCUGAGACUGCAGGAGGGACCAAGAGGUGCCUGGCAUGCCCAUCCCAACAGCUACAAUUAGGGGGAUUGCCAAGGAGCCAGGCCCCAGGUGUGCCUGCAAGGUCACCUCCUCCAUCAGGACCUACCGCAAUGCAAAAGGCUUUUGUGUGCCCAGGGACAGUCAUUCAAGCCUGCCGCCUUUGAGAGGAGGCCUAGGUUUCCAGAUGGGCAUUUGGGAGUACCCCUCACCCCUGGCUAAGCACAUCAAGAUGUCAGCUUCACCCCUACCCUGGGGAGAGGGUAAAAGACCGGGCAUCCAUGGCUGGUGGUGGCCAUCCUUAUUUCUGUGCAGAUUUUGCACGCACUGGCUGGAGACCCUCAUACAGAUGUCUCUGGCCCCUGCCGGGGGAUGCUUGUGAACUCAGGGCUUUGCUCAAAUGUUCCCUCCCAGGGAAAGCCUUUCUUGGGCUCCACAGCAUCCAGUAUCCCUCCAGCAGAGCCUGCUAGAUUGAAAUUUCUCAUUGUGGCUGAAGUCCUCAUCAGACUGGGAGCCCUGAGGGCAGGGACAAUGUCCCUUUUUAUAUCUCUCUGGGCAGUGCCUGGCACAGAGGAGGGGACCAAUACAACUUAAAAAAAAAAAAAAAGUACGUGAAGUGUGAAGUAUUAUUAGCAUUAACAUGGUGGGGGGACUAAUUAGGAGUCUGCUUGACCCCUCAGAGGUUACUUGUGCUGUAUAUAAAAAGGCACAUAUAUUUCAAAGUCUUUAAGUCACACGGCAUCAGGAAGUACAAUGAAGAUUUGAACCCAUGUGUAUCAUAUCUGUUUGCGCCCCUAGGCUAAAGUUUUUUUCCUCUUUGGUUGUUUCCUCCUUGGUUGCUCUCUGACCUCAAAGUGGGAGGAAGUGAGGGCCAUCUCCUAUGUCGGGGACAACAGAACCUAGAGGGUGGUGGUUUGGUAGUGGGGGGUGAAAAUUUUCUUUAGACUUCUCAGAUACACUCCAUGGAUCUCAGGUUGAUGGGGGUGAAGGGGUUUGGAAGGUGACAGAGAGGAAGCGAUCCAGGAUGGACCCCCUUAUCAGUGUGGCUGCGGUGGAUGGUGGUGACAUCGCCGACCUAGUAGGAGAGGGAGGAGAGAAGCCGGUUUGGGGUUGGGAGGGAAGAAGCUGUAUGCCAAAGUGGGUGUAUGUUCAGCAUGAGACGCCCAAGAAACGUCUCCAGCCAAAACUGGGAUGUGGUUUUGGAAUUCAAGGGAGGUCUAAGCCUGAGACGCCGGUUAGAGUUAAGUCAGCUUCGAAUUGGGACCAAAAAGUGGAGUAGGAUCGACCCAGCUGGUACCGCGAGGAUGGGACCUUCUCAAAUGCGUCAGGAGCAGCUGGAGAUGCUGGUGAAGAGGCAACUGCGAGUACAGAGUAAACGAGUGGUUAUACAGGGGAAGAGAAAAGACAGAAGCUGGGGAGGGCUGGGUUUAAUGCUGGAGAGUAAAUCAGGAGAAGGAGAGUGAAGUCUGAGUAGAAGAGUUAGGGACUGAGUGAAGAAGCCCUUGGGGUGUUGUCUACAGACCUCAAGGAGGGAGAGCGAGCAGGCGGAAUGGGGAGGGGGGAGAGCCUUAAAGUUUGAAGAGUAUGGCUGCUGGCCAUGUUCCUAGCGCGGCCACCGCCAGCUCCCGGAUCAAGGUCUGCAACACACCAGAGGGAUGCGGCCUCCGCGGAGCGCGGCGGCGUUUGCCCCGUCGAAGGUUUCAGAGCGCAUGCCCAGAGCGGGGGUGGGGGGCAUUGUCACGUGCGGCCGCCUUCAGCCGAUUGGCCCCUCCGCUCGCCAGCUCCGGGGGUGGGAUUGGCUAGAGCGGUCGGGGCGGUGGCGGCUGCACGCGGAGGGAGGCUGCGUCCGAGCGGCGGCUGUGGGGCAGCGAGCAGGCCGCCCGGGCCGCCUGCAGCCCCUCUGGGAUGGAGGUCCUGGACGAGUUCGACAGCGAGUUACCCCAGAGUGUGACCUUCUGCCAGCUCAUCUCCGAGGAGGACUUCGAGAGGCAGGCGGCCACCUACACGGAGCGCUCGCUGCGCCGCCUCUUCCGCAGCAUCGACCGCAACCCCGCGCUGGCCGAGAGGGUGGUGCGCAAGGGCAAGCUGGCCGAGUACGAGGGGCGCGGGCUCCUCUCCUUCCUCUGGGUGCGAGCCGGCGGGGCUGCAAGGGGGGAGGCGGGGUGGUGACCACGAGGGCGGGUGCUCGCACCGCUCCUGCUCCUCUUCCGAGGGCCAAGUUCUUCUGCGCAGUUCAAGGGGAGCUGAAUUGUUGCAACAGCAUGGGUACCCUGGAGAUGCACCAGCGCCUAGAGCAGCUGAAGAGGGGGAUCCACCGCGUGCACCUCUACUCCCAGGAUGCCAAGAAGAAGAGAAGAAAGCCAAAACUGAAGAAACCAGAACCCAUCCUCUUGAGAGACCGAUCAACCUCCCCAUGCCUGCCACCAGCCCUGCUGUCACCUCCCCCACUGCCGUCACCCGCCACCACCAUGGCCUCCGUGGUGGCCCCAUCGCCUCCCGUCUACACUAUGCCUAGGGUCUUUGGUCCUUUCCCUCCACUGCCCACCAAGUCGGUCAGUGAGCUCAUCCCUCAUUCUGUGUGGCCCUGGGAGAGGCAGCCUCCGCCCCUGUGCUCAGAGCCAACUCCGAGGCUCUCCUGGGCCCACGGCAGUGACUGUCAGAACUUUGUUUUUAAGCGGCACAAUGCUGUCUGGAGGCUAAAUUUUGGGUAGAAUGUUGAUAGAUAAAGCAGAGAAAAGGGGUCUGGUCCAGUUGAAGGGUUGGAGGCAUGGAGUUUUACCUGCUGAACAAGGCAGCUGCCAUGGGGCAGAAUCUUGGGGGGCCUAAAGGACAGGUGGAGAACCAUGGCUGCCACACCCCCAACAUCUCCAGCCUCACGCCUGUCCCACUUCAUGGCUGGUGUUCUCCUUCCCACUCUCUUUAAGUGCCUCUGCAGUGCCUUCCUAACCACUGCCCUCUCCUGGCCCCUGCAUAUCUCUCACUCUCAAGCCAGGCAGCCUCCUCAUCCUCUCUCCGUUCCCAGCUCCCCCAUCCUGUCCCUCUUAACACCAAGCUUGAGGUGGGCACUAAGGAGGACCCCGAUGCACUUGCUGAAUGAGUGACAGUCACAUCGUUUCUCUAGUUCUUGUAUAAGGUGUUUUUCUUCCCCAUGAAGCCCCCAAACUUAUCCUAAGAUUUCCCUUAUUUCCUGCAGAUGGAGAAGUUGGAGGUUGCAAGGUCAGAAGUGAAACUGAACUGGGCUGGCCUAUCAUCGAACCCAAAGAGGUGGAAGGAAUGGAUUCUAGGCUCAGGGCAAAUGAAAAGAGCAUUUUAGGGAGCACGUUGUGGGCCGUGCUUGGCUCCCAUUUUUCCCUACCUUGUUCAUCCUCACCACAGUCCUGAGGAGGAGUUAUCCCCAUUUUAUAGGGACGGGGUCAAGGCUCAUAGAGACAUAUGGUUGAUCUGACCCCCUUGGUCCUCAAUCCCGGAGGCUUCCAUUUCUCGUACCUGGCUGGAAACAGUGCGCACAAGCUCCAC